AGCAAUUUAAUACGGCGAACUGGCGAAUGGUUCAUUAAUUCAGUUUUAUCUACUCGGCAUCAAAUCUACCACUGGAUAACCGUGGUAAUCUAUAGCUAUACAUGCAAAAAUAUGGCGUACUUGGGAAGCCAUGCUAUUUAUUAUAAUAAACCCAACUUGUGGUAAAUCCCAGUUUAGUGACUCACAGUUACAUACCGAUGGAAUUGUGUCCACAGCACGUUUGAUUUUCUGCCCUAUCAUGGCUCUGUGUACGGUAGGGUCGUACACUGGCAUGAACGGUAACGGAGAAUAAGGGUUCUAUUCCGGAGACGGAGCCGGAGAGACGGAUACCACAUCCAAGGAAGGCAGCAGGCGCGCAAAUUACCAAUCCCGACAUGGGGAGGUAGAGGACAAUACAUAACAAUGCAGGGCCUUUAUGGUCUUGCAAUUGGAAUGAGUACAAUUUAAAUCCUUUAACGAGGAUCAAGUGGCAGGGCAAGGCGGUUCCAGCAGCCGCGGUAAUUCCAACUCCAAUUCCGUAUAUGAAAGUUGUUGCAGUUGAAACGUCCGUACUCGAACGUUAGCCUAAUGUCCAGGCCUCUCGUCAUUCAGUUGGUGAGUUGGUCUUGGACUGGGCACAACGUCUAGAUGGCCUGAGUCUCUUGGGGCGCGGGGUGUUCACUAGGCGUAUUACCAGGAACAAAUCAGAGUGGUUUAAAGCCGGGUUUUACGCUAGAACGUGUUCGCGGGAAUAAGGAAAUAAGACCCAGGGUUUAUUUCGUGGGUUUUGGGACCCAAAGUAUGAUGAAAAGGACUGGUCGGGGGCAUUUGUAUUUAGGCGCUAGAGGUGAAAUUCUUGGAUUGACCGGAAGACAAACUACUGCGAAAGCAUUUGACCCAGAGACAUCCCUAUUCACAAGGGAUAAUUUGAGGGAUCGAAGACAAUAAGACACCUGUGUGUUUGUCUUACACACACAAAUCGACGCCGUAUAGAUAUCGGGCUUGGUAUAUUAAGGCUCGCUCGGCACCUUAGCCGGAAACAAA
rnacentral:rRNA from 1 species